GCAGCUGGGACCACAGGCGCCUGCCACCACGCCCGGCUAAUUUUUUGUAUUUUUUUAGUAGAGACGGGGUUUCACCAUGUUAGCCAGGAUGGUCUCGAUCUCCUGACCUCGUGAUCCGCCCACCUUGGCCUCCCAAAAUGUUGGGAGUGAGCCAACAAGCCCAAAGUGGCAUGAGCCAUGGUGCCCAGCCAGCUAUCGUCAUUUUCAUUAGACACCUGGCAGAAGGCAAUGGAAACCUUCCACAGAAAGGCUCCUCCUUCCCCCCAGGGAGACGAGGGUGUGAGAUGCUGCAGAUACAGGGCUUCCAGUUAGAAGCACAAGAUUAUCUGCCCUGUGGUUUGGUCCACUAAGACAAACUGGAAUUUGUGACUCUUUCAUAUAUACGAACUGAUGAAGAGUCAGACCUCAAAGCUUGAGCUCUGGACAAGUGUGUAGAAAGAAACCAAGACUUAGCCAAAAGAAAUCAGACCUCCUUGCACUGAUAGAAUGGACCAAAGCAGGAUGGACCGCACAGGAGAGAAUUGCAGAGCCUAGAGCUGAGGAACACAGGUCAACUGAACUGUGCUCUCAACCACACUGGCCCAGGAAGACCACCACUUCCUCAGGAUGGUGGAGCUGCAGAAAGACACGUACGCGGGCUACAGGUCCUUGAUGCACCCUUGCGUAUGUAUAGGCGUGAUGAAUUCUAGGUGGCUGUCUCAUCAGCGUGGCUUCCAUUAUUCUUAAAAAAGCAUUUUCUUACUUUCAUAAAGAUGUCCAGAAUUUUCUUUUUAAUUCCUUAGUGGUGUUAUCUAUAUAUAGCUGGAUUAGAUAGACCCUACUUGCUAAUGAUUAUCACCAUUUCCUGAUGCCCAAAUGUGUGAACCUAGAAAAUUGCCUAUAGGUGCUCUGUAAGUUUUCUGUCGGUAAGGAAGGAAGGAAAGAAGAAGAAGAGGAAGGAAAGAAGGAGAGAAGGAAAGAAGGCAAGGGAAGGGAAGGGAAAGGAAGGGAAGGGAAGGGAAUGAAGGAUGCAGGAAAAAGAAGGAAGGAAAGAAAGAAAGAGAGAGAGAGAAGGAAGGAAGGAAGGAAACUGCUUAAAUUGCUGAUUAACUUUCUCUCUCUCUCUCUCUCUCUCUCUCUCUCUGUGUGUGUGUGUGUGUGUGUGUGUGUGUGUGUGUGUGUGUGUUUGGAUGUUAUUUUUAUAAGUGUCACUGGAGUUCCAUCCCAACCAUUGAACAAAUUCAUCCUAGGAAACACCUUUAUGGCAGAGUAGGUUUGGAGAAGUACAGAAAAACUCUAUUAUCCUCUUUGUCUAUGGAAUGCUUUUGCUGUAAUAAAUUUCCUUCAGAAAAAAUAUUUCCAAAGGAUUUUUGAGUGCUUUUAACUGCUCUUGACAUUUGAGUGGAUAUAUCUUUAAGAAUCAUCACCAAAACACUAACUUUAUAAAUUUAGAAAGUUAAAUUCUCUAAUGUGAAAUCAUGGCUAUAGAAACACUGUGUGUGUGUGUGUGUGUCUGUGUGUCUGUGUGUGUGUAUGUGUGGUCUGUGGCUUGUGUUUCUAGCCCAGAAUAUUCCGUGUACUCCACCUCCCCAUGGUUUUUGGUCCAAGAAGCAGCCUGCUGCCAUGUUCCUGUCUCCUGUCCUCCUACUCCAUUCUCAUCUCUCUUCCUGGUCUCCCACUGCUCCUUCUCCUGUGGGCUGCACAUGUUCAGAUCUCCGAGCUUCCAUUGUAUUUCUUUUGAAAAUUCUGUACACCCUGGGCACAUCCCUAUGUCCAAAACACUCAUGACUCUCAAAUCUGUAUUUUUAACCUCCUGUUUUCCUCCUGUCUCCCAACCGUGGAAGCCAAACAUCCACUCCAGCAUCCCAGCCUCAAGUCCCUUCCUCUUCAAUCCAUCCUUUUCUUCAGUGCAUCCUCCUCACUGAUCUCCAUGUACAUUUUUAAAGACUGAUGUUUUGAUUUAACCUGUUGCUUAAAGUCCUCCUCAUCACCUAGAAUAUGGUUUGGCUCUGUGUCCCCACCUAAAUCUCAUGUUUAUUUGUAUUCCUCAAUGUUGGAGGUGGGGACUAUUGGGAGGUGAUUGGAUCAUGGGGGUGAAUCCUUCAUGAAUGGUCUAGCCCCAGCCCUUUGGUGUGCUCUUCUCAGGAUGGAGAGUGAGUUCUUGUGAGAUCUAGUUGUUUAAAAGUGUGCAGCACCUCCCGUCUCUCUCUUGCUCCUGCUCCAGCCAUGUAAGAAGGCUUCCCCUGCAUCUUCCACCAUGAUAAGUUUCCUGAGGCCUCCCCAGAAGCUAGCAGAAGCCAGUAUCAUGCUUCCUGUAUAGCCUGAAGAACUGUGAGCCAAUUAAAACUCUUUUCUUUAUAAAUAACCCAGUCACAGGUAUUUCUCUUUUUUUGGAGACGGAGUCUCACUGUGUCACCGAGACUGGAGUGCUGUGGUGCAAUCUCAGCUCACUGCAACCUCCACCUCCUGUGUUCAAGCAAUUCUCCUGCCUCAGCCUCCCUGGGACUACAGGUGCAUGCUGCCACACCUGGCUAAUUUUUUGUAUUUUAGUUGAGAUGAGGUUUCACCGUGUUGCCCAGGCUGGUCUCGAACUCCUAAGCUCAGGCACUCUGCCCACCUCGGCCUCCCAAAGUGCUAGGAUUACAGGCGUGAGCCACUGUGCCUGGCCUUCAGGUAUUUCUUUAUAUCAGUGUGAGAAUAAACUAAUACAACCUACAAGCUGAAGUUCCUACUCCCAUCUCUCCUCUUGUCUGCGAUGAUCUUUCCCAACUCUUCUCUUGCUGCUCCCAGACACUGUCGACUCUUCAGUCAACAGGAAUGUGUGUAGGUCCUCCAAUUCCAAUGUUUUUCAUGUCUGUGUGCCUUUACAUGUGCUGACCUGGCCCUACUGCCCCUAAUCCCUUCCCUUCCUGAUUCCCCUCUAUAUUCCAUCUCCUCCUCAGAGCCUCACUCAGCGCAGUCAUUUCUGUUUUGGCCAGGCUUCCUCCUCUGUGCCCCUCCUAUUAGCAUUAUUUAAAUUUAUUUGCUUAUGUGUUUGUUCCUCUCCUGGAAGGUGAACCCCUCCAUUGACUUCCUCAUUAGCAUAGUCCCUGGCAUGUGGUAUCUGCCUAAUAAAUGUUUACAGAGUGGAUGCAUGCGUGAAUAUCUGUGGAUUUGGUUUCUUGACCAUGGUUUCAUGGGGAAAGCAACUGAGGGAUAUACGAAGUAGGUGCAUUCCUAAUAAUUUAGGUAAGGCCAAAGGUCAAUCUAAUAUAAAACUAAGCCAACCAAGGAUACCUGUACUGAGUUGAAUAGUUUUCCCCAAAAUUAAUGUUCUUCUUGGAACCUUGGAAUGUGACCUUAUUUGGAAAUAGGGUGUUGUAAAUGUAAGGUUCUAUUGGAGUAGGGUGGGUCUUUAACUCAGUAUGACCCAUGUCAUUAUAAGAAGAGGAAAAGAGAUGCAGAGACAGAGACAUGUGGGGUGAACACCAUGUGCCAACCAAUAGAAGCAGAGAUUGGAGCAACACAUCUACAAGCCAAGAAAUGCCAAGGGUUGCCAGAAACAGCAGAAUCUAAGAGAAAGGCAUGGAAUAGAUUCUCCACUGGAGCCUACAGAGAAAGUUUGGCCCUACUAAGAAUUUUGACUUCAAACGUCUAGCCUCCAGAGUUGUAAGAGAAAAAAUUCCCAUUAUUUCAAGCCACCCAGCUUGUGGCACUUUGCUUCAGCAUUCCUGGGAAACUAAUACACCACCUUUGCCUGAGUUCAGUAAUCCCUAAGGAGGAGUAAGGGCAUAGGAUGCUGAUGAAUUACUGCAUCUCUUUGCAAAUAGGAAACAGGGUACUACACAAACCAGUUUAUCAACGUGAAAUGUGAUAUGCUGACUAACUAAAACUCUCUUCCACCUUUCUACAAAUGCCUUCAAUAUAAGGAUGAUUAUUGAGAACACAUCUAACAGAAAAGUCACUGGUGAUUGAAUGAGAGGCAAAGAUUGUGGGCCAAGGUCAGAGUUAUUUUCUGUCUUCUCUUUCGAUUGAUCCCUUGAGCAAUUUGGUCCUUCAAACAACCAUGAGAUUAUGAGUGAUCUGUGGAGCCACUUUAGCUUCAAAUUCAGUGAUUCUCAGAAAAGGGAUAAGUCAGAGGACCAGAAAAUGGCAAGGGGAAGGGGAAGAGCCUUAGGUCAGGGGGCAGCUGGGGGAAGGCAGGGUCUGGGGAGGGAAAGGAAGUGAAUCCUGGAGUCUGGGAAUGCCAGGCUUCCAGGGAUCCAGAGCCCCCUUACCUCACUAGUAAGGAAAUGCCCAGGAGAACGACUCCCUGCCCCCGACCAGACUUGGCCCACAAUCCCGGCCGCCAUGCUGGUUUUGUGUUUGUCUUUCUGAGAUGCUGAGUUCUACCAUUGCGUUUUCAGCCUGACUCCCUUCAAUAGCCUCCCUCCAUUAUCUCUCCUCUUUCUUUCUAGCUCUUUCUUCAUUUUACCACCAGCAUUUUCCACCUCAAAAACAAAUCCUAUGGGGCCAUUUCCUUUCUUUGAGGUGUUAGGGCUCACCUCUGUCCACAGAGGCAGCUCACACCCCUGCGUACCUCUCCAGACUCCUGUCCUACCUUUCCCUCCAUCUCUACCCAGUCACGCUAAACUUCUAGUUUCCAGAAUGCUUUUAUAAUGACCCCAGGCUUUUACCCUUUUGCAGUUAUUUAUCCUUUAAAAUCUAGAUCAAAUAUAUGAUAUUUCAGUUAGUUGUGUUCACUUGUCCCCACAAAACUCCCUGAAUAAUGCACUCAUUCAUGCUUAGGGGCUUUUGAACUAUUCUGUCACAAAAAUUGUAAAAGUAUUAAUAAAAGUUUUUGUUUUAAAUAAUAUCAUUUGUUUCAAUAUCAGGAACUCUUAUCAUUAUAAUGGCUCUGAAAUGCCUAGAUUCUGUAAUAAAAUCUUAGCCCCAUUGGGCUUGCAGAUUCUUGGGAAGCUGUAAUGUAGGGAGUAGGUAAUAAAAUAUCUCAAACCCAGCUUGAAGAAGUAAAUGUUGGCACAUUUAAAUUGUAGACAAUGUCCCUUUUUACGAUGUGGGAUCUUUCACAGUCUUCUCUCAGAUUAGCUCUCCCUGCCCCUACCAUCACUAUGACAAUGCACACCCCGUAAUGAGCAAUGGACACUUUCUCAAGAGAGCUUGCAGGAGUGAGCUUGCCAGUCUAAAAGCAAAGAACGAUACGUCAUUACAGUGUUAACUUUCAGUUAUCUGAUUACUAAUGAUUCUGAGCCUGUCUUUGCACUCUUUGAAGUUUCUUGGGCUUUUUCUCUAACGUGCUUAUUCAUUAUUGUCCUUUGCCCAUUUUUUUUUCUACUGGGAUGCUAUCAUUUCCUUAUCGUUUUGCAGGAGUUCUGUGUGCUCUAGAUAGCAAUCUCCUGUUUAUCAUAGGUACAGCAAGAAUCAUCUCCUAUUCUGUGAUUUCUCAAUGAUUUCGUUUACAUUGUUCUUUGAUGAAUGGAAAUUAUCAAUGCUAAUGUAAUCAAAUUAAUCACAUUUCACCUUCUGGCUUUGCUUUUGAAGUUUUACUGAUUCAACUGGUGAUGACAAAAUGAGCCACUUUUAUAUUUGGACAGUUGAUUACUUACAGAUGGAAAGAAAAAGUGUUUAAGUCAAAGGUGCCGGCAUCCCUCAGUCCUUGUCCCAUACACCAAAAGGGUGACAAGAAAACAGAAAAGGUCCCAUAAAUAUCUUCUUUUGAGAAGUGUCUGUUCAUAUCCUUUGCCCACUUUUUGAUGGGAUUGUUUGUUUUUUUCUUGUAAAUUUGUUUGAG
rnacentral:lncRNA from 1 species